GGUUUCAUAUUUUGAGGAACUGCCAGACUGUUUUCCAAAGUGGCUGAGUAUGUUUAAAAUCCCACCAGCAA